rnacentral:rRNA from 1 species
UACGUAGGGUGCAGGCGUUAAUCGGAAUUACUGGGCGUAAAGCGUGUGUAGGCGGUCCACUAAGUCGGGUGUGAAAGCCCUGGGCUCAACCCAGGAAGUGCACUCGAAACUGGCGGGCUUGAGUAUCGGAGAGGUUGGUGGAAUUCUCGGUGUAGAGGUGAAAUUCGUAGAUAUCGAGAGGAACACCGGUGGCGAAGGCGGCCAACUGGACGAAUACUGACGCUGAGACACGAAAGCGUGGGGAGCAAACAGG